rnacentral:rRNA from 1 species
GUGGAAUAUUGGACAAUGGGCGAAAGCCUGAUCCAGCAAUGCCGCGUGUGUGAAGAAGGCCUUAGGGUUGUAAAACACUUUCAGCAGAGAAGAAGUAUUAAUUGCUAAUAUCAAUUGAUAUUGACGUUAUUUGCAGAAGAAGUACUGGCUAACUCUGUGCCAGCAGCCGCGGUAAUACAGAGAGUGCGAGCGUUAAUCGGAAUUAUUGGGCGUAAAGGGUGUGUAGGUGGGUAAAAAAGUUAAAUGUGAAAUCCCUAGGCUUAACUUAGGAACUGCAUUUAAAACUAAUUACCUAGAGUAUUGUAGAGGAAAGUAGAAUUUCCGGUGUAGCGGUGAAAUGCGUAGAUAUCGGAAGGAAUACCAGAAGCGAAGGCGACUUUCUGGACAAAUACUGACACUGAGACACGAAAGCGUGGGGAGCAAAC